UACGGAGGGUGCAAGCGUUAUCCGGAUUUACUGGGUUUAAAGGGUGCGUAGGCGGGCUUUUAAGUCAGCGGUGAAAGCUUCGAGCUUAACUCGGAAAUUGCCGUUGAUACUAUUAGUCUUGAAUUAAGUUGAGGUGGGCGGAAUGUGUCAUGUAGCGGUGAAAUGCUUAGAUAUGACACAGAACACCGAUUGCGAAGGCAGCUCGCUAAACUUAUAUUGACGCUGAGGCACGAAAGCGUGGGGAGCAAACAGG
rnacentral:rRNA from 1 species